AAUCAACGCUGGCGGCGUGCCUAACACAUGCAAGUCGAACGCGAAAGCCCCUUCGGGGGUAAGUAGAGUGGCGUCCGGGUGAGUAACACGUAGGUAAUCUACCUUCGGGUGGGGAAUAACCAGUCGAAGAUUGGCUAAUACCGCAUAAUGCAGCGGCACCUAAUGGUGAUUAGUUGUUAAAGCGGGGAUCGUAAGACCUCGCGCCUGAAGAGGAGCCUGCGGCAGAUUAGCUAGUUGGNGAGGUAAU
rnacentral:rRNA from 1 species